rnacentral:rRNA from 1 species
UACGGGGGGGGCAAGCGUUGUUCGGAAUUACUGGCGUAAAGGGCUCGUAGGCGGCCAACUAAGUCAGACGAUGAAAUCCCUCGGCUUAACCGGGGAACUGCGUCUGAUACUGGAUGGCUUGAGUUUGGGAGAGGGAUGCGGAAUUCCAGGUGUAGCGGUGAAAUGCGUAGAUAUCGUGAGGAAGACCAGUGGCGAAGGCGGAUCUCUGGACAGCUCCUGACGCUGAGGCGACGAAGGCUAGGGGAGCAAACGGG